CGCCCGCUCAGCAUCACUCUGCUUCCAGGACGUGAGUCCGUGCGGCCAAACUGACCGGGAUUAGCCACAAUCGCUCUAUCCAUGGCAUUCCCUGACCACAGCCGCUCUUUCUGUCUGUCUAGGAAGCAGGUGCUCGUCUGUUUUACAAACGUGUGCCUAACGCCUCCGGUUUACAAACCAGCCUCUGUGCUCAGGCGCGGAGACUGUCAAUCCAAAUAGCGGAGCUGUUUCUCUUAAGAAGCCGGGUGUCGGCCCUUCAGGACAUGUCCUGGGCUCGGGAAGCUCAGGCUGGAAGUGCCUGGCCGUGGGUCGGCUUUCUGUCUGGGUGUGUGUGCCUCCUAAUUAAGGUGGGAGAGCGGCCACGGUCAUGUUCACUGCACCGUCUGACCCCGCCCUCUGUCCGCCGGCAGCCUGGCCAUCAGGGCGGAGGGACGGUGGACCGCACCAGGCCUGCGCCCUCUCCCUGGAGGCUGCUGUCUUGUGAUUAAGGAAGAAGCUUUCACCUCCCUUUUUAAACUUUAUGCUUUAGAACUAGGCAGCUCAGGGCUGCGUUUUAACGAAUUCACGUUGUGUGACUCCUGCUGAAACCCCUCUGCAGGAAGGUCAUUCCUGCAGGUGAAGUGAUCGUUGCAAGUAUUGUGUGUGGCCAUGUGUUCUGUGUCGGGGUGAGUGAGUGUUAUGUGUGAUUGCAUGCUUUUUCUAACAGAAGUGUCAGAGGGUAGAGAGGGGAGGAGAAGCCUGGAGCUGGGGUGCACAGCCAGGCCCCCAAACCGUGGGUGAGUCAGUGGGUGAGAGGUGAGUGAGGGCAGAGGCCCAGGACACAUGUGCAUGACUGUAGGCCUCUCACACUGUCUGUUCAGGCCGCCCUGUUUAUAAACAGCAGAGGACACGGCAGUGAUAGUAAAUGUAAUAAGACAGAUAUCCUUCCCUAAACAGGGAAAUAAGUUUAAAUAAUCUUCUUUGAAGUCAUUGAAAUGAGGUCCUGCAUACGUGAUGCUACUGGAAAUUGAGCUCACCUCGUUACUGUAAUUACUCUUAGCUUCUUACGGAUCCGUAAAAUCAAAGACUUUAAUUCAGAGAAGGUUCAUUACCUAUUAUUGAAACAGGAAUUAAGCAGAUACCGUUUUAAUGGCGUGGAAGACAGUAGUACUUUGUGCUUUAAUAGACUUUUCCCUCAAGAUCUGCAGAGUUUUCAUUUAUUCUCAAAAAUGAAUCACGACACACACGAACCAUCACCGAUGGAGACAGGUGGCAAGCGUUUUGUUCACUUUGAUAUCAGCCCCUUCCUUUUCUCGAAAAGGCUGGAUUGUUGGUUGGUUUGACUGCGUUAACUUGAGCCAUUAAUUGAGCUUGACCUCUAUAAGCAUUGGGCUGGGCACUUGGAAAGCACAGGUGACCUCAGCCCCACAGGCGGUCUGUAUUUCAGACGUGGAAACUGGAGCCCAGAGUGGUUGUCCGGAGCAAGGCCUCACAGCAGCAGCAAAGCAACCAGGACUGGAAACGGUUUCUAACCCGAAAGCCUGUCUUCUUUUCACAAGACCACAUGCCUCUCACUCUAAUUCAGUUAUUUGCUCAGUGGCGCGCACUGCUGCUGAGACAGAGGACGAUAGGAUACCACUCAGCCUGGCCCGGAGGCAGACAGGUUUCCAGAACAGACACAAAGAGGCAGUUAGUUGGUGCCCUGGAGGACGAGGAAGGCGGGAGCAGCUUGGCCAGGUAUUUAGAGGAAAUGCCACCGCGAAGGGUCCCUGGAGCUGACAUUUGCGCUGGGUAUUAAGGGGUCACCAGGUGGCUUAGAGGAAGGUGGGCAGUGGCUUGCUCUCAGAACCUCUUUGUUCUCAUUCUCACGUGCAGUAGGCACUGCUGACCUCUGCGUCUCGGGAGCUGCUCCUCCUCGUCCCAGAGCAAGCAGGACGGCCACACUGUGUGCAGGACGGUCCGGCAGCUCUACCGCCACCUCAGUGGCUUUGAAAGGCCACGUUGUGUCCGAGGCUCCUAUAGCCAGAGUCCCUGAAAGUGCACAGUGGCAUUCAGAGAGCCUGCCGUGGCUCUGCUACAGCAUGACAAUGAGAGGGAGUUGAGCUUCAAUAUGCAUUAGUACUGACUGGUCUCCUUGCAAUAAUACAACAGCAAUAGGGAAUAGAAAGGUGUGAGCCGAGUGUCAAAGCCAUGGGAAACCAUUCCUAGACUGAGAGAUAGGGACAGGGGGCCGUACAGGGAAGCCACAGCUAAAAGCCCUAGAACACUUUGGGAAGGUAAGUUCCAUGCUGAGCUUUCUAGCACCGAUGUGAGAGCAAGUUUGAAACGCCUCCCGACAUCGCCCCGUUGAUGUCCUGGGGUCCAGGGUGUACUUUCCCAGUGGAGGAGAAGGUUUCUUCUGGAAAGAAUUCCCUUGUGGGUCUGUUCUGGGGAGUCGUAGGGGUUAAAGAGCGUGGACAGGGGAAGCGCCUCAUGGAACCCGGCCGUGGGGCUGCGGGACACCGGCCGGGAGUCAGGGCGACCUCCGCUCCCGGGCUCAGUGACCCCCUGCGCUGAGCGGAAUCCUCACCCUCCAUGACACUGGCAGUGACAGGAGAGGCUCAUGCCCUCCACGUGCCCCGGGGAGCAGGACUGUUCCCCGGGGGGAGGGCUCUGAGGACUAACGCCAGAGGGCGGACAGGCCUAGCGCCGAGGCGGGGCUCCGGGGAGGGUGAGCCACACCACCUCACGUCCUGCCUGUCUUCU